rnacentral:rRNA from 1 species
GACGAACGCUGGCGGCGUGCUUAACACAUGCAAGUCGAACGGAAAGACCCUGCUUUUGUGGGGUGCUCGAGUGGCGAACGGGUGAGUAACACGUGAGUAACCUGCCCUUGACUUUGGGAUAACUUCAGGAAACUGGGGCUAAUACCGGAUAGGAGCUCCUGCUGCAUGGUGGGGGUUGGAAAGUUUCGGCGGUUGGGGAUGGACUCGCGGCUUAUCAGCUUGUUGGUGGGGUAGUGGCUUACCAAGGCUUUGACGGGUAGCCGGCCUGAGAGGGUGACCGGCCACAUUGGGACUGAGAUACGGCCCAGACUCCUACGGGAGGCAGCAGUGGGGAAUAUUGCACAAUGGGCGGAAGCCUGAUGCAGCAACGCCGCGUGCGGGAUGACGGCCUUCGGGCUGUAAACCGCUUUCGCCUGUGACGAAGCGUGAGUGACGGUAAUGGGUAAAGAAGCACCGGCUAACUACGUG